AAACCCUAGAUCAAAAUUCGUCUGCCUCUUUAGGUCUCUCAAUCGUCUGCGACAAUUUUCACUCGAUCUUCAAAUCACAAUCCUCUACAAUUGACGGGUUUUCACCUCUUCGCCACAAUCCAAUCGGAAGAUUUUUACUCCGUCACCGGAACAUGAACGGAAUAAAUUCCGGUGUGAAGGUACUGAAGCCGGAAGAGAUGAGUGCGAAAGAAGAUUGGAAGAGAUGAGCGCGAAAGAAGAUUUGUUUUAGAACUAGGGUUUAAUGUGGUUUUGAGUUUUUUUAAUUCCGUUAAGUUUGUUUCAGAAUAAUCUCUGAUUCGGUUUUUGAUGCUACAGAGUUUUAUAUUUUCUGGUAUUAUGGAUAACCUAUGUUUGAUGAUUC